CGGCAGCACGGGUGCUUGCACCUGGUGGCGAGUGGCGAACGGGUGAGUAAAGCAUCGGAACGUGCCCAACUGUGGGGGAUAACGCACCGAAAGGUGUGCUAAUACCGCAUAAGCCCUGAGGGGGAAAGCAGGGGAUCUUAGGACCUUGCGCGGAUGGAGCGGCCGAUGUCGGAUUAGCUAGUUGGUGAGGUAAAGGCUCACCAAGGCGACGAUCCGUAGCUGGUCUGAGAGGAUGAUCAGCCACACUGGAACUGAGAGACGGUCCAGACUCCUACGGGAGGCAGCAGUGGGGAAUUUUGGACAAUGGGGGCAACCCUGAUCCAGCCAUGCCGCGUGAGUGAAGAAGGCCUUCGGGUUGUAAAGCUCUUUCGGCCGGGAAGAAAUCGUGCAGUCUAAUACACUGUAUGGAUGACGGUACCGGAAUAAGAAGCACCGGCUAACUACGUGCCAGCAGCCGCGGUAAUACGUAGGGUGCGAGCGUUAAUCGGAAUUACUGGGCGUAAAGCGUGCGCAGGCGGUUUUGUAAGACAGGCGUGAAAUCCCCGGGCUCAACCUGGGAAUGGCGCUUGUGACUGCAAGGCUAGAGUACGGCAGAGGGGGGUAGAAUUCCACGUGUAGCAGUGAAAUGCGUAGAGAUGUGGAGGAAUACCGAUGGCGAA
rnacentral:rRNA from 1 species